CCUUCCCAAGAGAAGCUCUCCGGCCCCACUCCUCCACCAGCCAGUUGUGAUCCAGGAGCUGGGAAGCCAGGCUUUGGGGCACAACCUGAAGACCCUCACAGUCAAUGUCACCAUAUCCACCCUCCGGUAUUCAUCAGACAGGAGGAACAGCUCAGCUACGUUCAACUCCACUGAGAAGGUCCUGCAGAGCCUGGUGAGACCCUGGUCCCAGCAGCUCCUGCUGGAUCCUUGUUCAAGAAGAGCAGCCUGGGCCC